UGACUAACUCCGCUUGUAGCUCCUCCGGGGGCUACUGCCGGUUCCAAGCCCGGGUAAAGGAGGAGGGGUGG
rnacentral:ribozyme from 2 species